UGGGGAAUAUUGGACAAUGGGUGAGAGCCUGAUCCAGCCAUGCCGCGUGCAGGAAGAAGGCGUUAUGCGUUGUAAACUGCUUUUGCCAGGGGAUAAAAUGACCGUGCGCGGUUAAUUGAAGGUACCUGGUGAAUAAGCCACGGCUAACUACGUGCCAGCAGCCGCGGUAAUACGUAGGUGGCAAGCGUUAAUCGGAAUUACUGGGCGUAAAGCGUGCGCAGGCGGUUAUGCAAGACAGGUGUGAAAUCCCCGGGCUUAACCUGGGAACUGCACUUGUGACUGCAUAGCUGGAGUACGGCAGAGGGGGAUGGAAUUCCGCGUGUAGCAGUGAAAUGCGUAGAUAUGCGGAGGAACACCGAUGGCGAAGGCAGUCCCCUGGGCCUGUACUGACGCUCAUGCACGAAAGCGUGGGGAGCAAACAGGAUUAGAUACCCAAGUAGUCCCUGAGCGGGCUGGCAAGGCGCAU
rnacentral:rRNA from 1 species